ACCAACAUAUUAUUGAACGGAAAUUUAGGAAAUAAAUAAAAAUAAAACCCUAGACGUAUAGUAUCCUCCAAACACAGAUCUAAGCUCUUCUCUAUCUCUAAGCUCUGGCGAUUGACGACGGCGGCAAGUUGGACUCCUCUCUCACAUCGACGAAGGCGGGUAUCUCCAGACUCCAGCGAUCGAUGACGAUGACGGCUUGAAAUCCUCUCUCUAUAGUCUACGAAAGUGGCAUCAGCAGCGGCAGUGUUUGAUGGAAAUAUUGGCGGCGUGAGCAGCGGCGACGGCACCAGCUCCGGCGUUGCUGCGCUUCCUCAGGUAUGUGCGGUUGCUGUCUUUCAUUUAUUUAACUACUCAAAUUGUAAUUUCAGUUUUAAAUUUAAAGUUUAUAUAUGUCAAUGCCGUUCGAGACUACAUAUUGAAGAUCGAGAAGGAGCUCUAACCAUUUUUAGCACAACCACCGUCACACCGCCCCUUCUCCGCUGCCCAGCCAUAGCCACAGCCGCCAUAGCCCACCGCCACACCAACCUCCGCCGCCGCCAUCGGCUCUAAUUUAGGUUUGCUUUCUCUGUUUCCUUGUUAGUGGAGCUGAUUUUGAGAUUGGUGAUUAUAGGUGUGAGAGGUAGAGAGGAAAUAGACCAAAUUGUUGUUUAAAUUGCUAGUUUUGACUUUGCCUAUUGUGGCUAAGAGUUGUAAUUGGUGCAAUGGAAGUUCUUUUUCGUAUAUGUCUAAAUAUGAAUGUCCAAAUGUGGAGCUAUUUAUUGAUUGGCAUUAGAGAGAAUGAUGAUUUUAUUCUAGAAGGUUGUUAUUCCCACCUUACUUGAAAGCGGACUUCUUGAUGUUAAUUAUGAUUAUAUUAAACCUGGAUUCUAGUCAUGGUUUGCAGGCACACUAUUCAAUAAGAAAGAGUUUCUUAUUUCUUUCUGUUAUUCUUUCCUCCUAAUUCGACUACACAUCAGGAAAAUCUACCUCUAUAUGUUUGUUAUAUGUAUUCUUUUGGGCAUUAUAGAAACAAAGUGGACUCAGGCUAUUGUAGCAGAAUGCAAUGAACUCAAUGGUUUUCACCUGCUAACGAUUAUAUGUGCAGAUGUGGAAUCAAUAUUGCAUAAUGAUUUAUUGUUACUUUCAAGGUCUUGUAUACUAAACUACUAAAGUUUGACAAACCUUCAUAUUUAGUACACAAGAGGUUGCUUAUGAUGAUUUUGUUGAUGCUGGAUCAUUUGCAGUUGCAAGAGAGAAAAUACUUCUAAGUUUGUUUUUCCAAGUGUUGUUUAUGUUUUCUGUAUGAUUUUUGCAUUUUGAAAUCUAUCAUGGUCUAAUUUUGGUGAAGGUCUACAUUUGAUCAAAGUCAUUGAAGAAGAAGGUUGUGGAUGCUGCAUUGAUCAAAGCUAUUGAAGUAGUGCCGGAUUUGAAGGCUUAUUUGGGUGCAGCAUACUUAAGUAGUAUCAAUUAAGUAGUAAUAUUUUCAUGACUUUUUUUUUAUGAACAUGACAAUAAUUUUUGUUG